GACACAGAUGAUGAUCAUUACAAGGGACUUAAUACUGAGUUCUUGAUGAUUCUUGUUCCUGAUGUGC